CGGUGUUUAACUGGCGUGAUGUGGGACGUCCUACCGGUGGGCUUAGCCUCGCGAGGGGCGGCCCAACUAAUAUCCCGUCGCGGUGCUCUUUACUGAGUGUCGAGUCGGGCCGGUACGUUUACUUUGAACAAAUUAGAGUGCUUAAAGCAGGCUAUCCUCGCCUGAAUACUGCGUGCAUGGAAUAAUGGAAUAGGACCUCGGUUCUAUUUUGUUGGUUUUCGGAACCCCGAGGUAAUGAUUAAUAGGGACAGAUGGGGGCAUUCGUAUUGCGACGUUAGAGGUGAAAUUCUUGGAUCGUCGCAAGACGGACAGAAGCGAAAGCAUUUGCCAAAAAUGUUUUCAUUAAUCAAGAACGAAAGUUAGAGGUUCGAAGGCGAUCAGAUACCGCCCUAGUUCUAACCAUAAACGAUGCCAGCUAGCGAUCCGCCGAAGUUCCUCCGAUGACUCGGCGGGCAGCUUCCGGGAAACCAAAGCUUUUGGGUUCCGGGGGAAGUAUGGUUGCAAAGCUGAAACUUAAAGGAUUUGACGGAGGGCACCACCGGGAGUGGAGCAUGCGGCUUAAUUUGACUCAACACGGGAAACCUCACCACGCCCAGACACCGGAAGGAUUGACAGAUUGAUAGCUCUUUCUUGAUUCGGUGGGGGGUGGUGCAUGGCCGUUCUUAGUUGGUGGAGCGAGUUGUCUGGUUAAUUCCGAUAACGAACGAGACUCUAGCCUGCUAAAUAGGCGUACCUUAUGGUAUCACGAAGGCCCCCGGCUUCGGCCGGUGGGUUUUUACUACCAACGUACAAACAAAUCUUCUUAGAGGGACAGGCGG
rnacentral:rRNA from 1 species